rnacentral:misc_RNA from 1 species
GUGAGUCAUCGAAUCUUUGAACGCACAUUGCGCCCCUUGGUAUUCCGAGGGGCAUGCCCGUUCGAGCGUCAUUAUAACCCCUCAAGCCUAGCUUGGUGUUGGGGCCUGCUGUUACCGGCAGCCCUUAAAACCAGUGGCGGUGCCAUCUGGCUCUAAGCGUAGUAAUACUUCUCGCUACAGGGUCCUGGUGGAUGCUUGCCAUCAACCCCUAAUUUUCUAUGGUUGACCUCGGAUCGGGUAGGGAUACCCGCUGAACUUAAGCAUAUCAAUAAGCGGAGGA